CCAUAGUCUUCAAUGCCAUCCAUUUGAGAAGUUAUAUAUUGAAUAUGUUCUAAAGAAUGAUAAAAUCAGCUUCUAUUACUGAUGCAGAAAAUAAAGAACAUGCUAUGUAUAAACAUAAGCAGACUAUAUUCAAACAAUUCAUAAUCUUCUUGUCCUAAUGGUAGAUGGAAAAAAAAAAAUACUCUGAAUCAAGCAGAGUUUCUGUUGUGUUCUACUAUGUUCCUUGCCUAAUAAAGCUUCACUUUGCCUUACAGAUAUUUUAGUUAAGGAAGAAAAGGAGGCAGAAAAAAUGAAGUUCCAGAUAAAAGCCAAAACAAAACAGUUAAGGAGAAUCUGUUCAUCUUUCUGCAGUGCUCACUCCUCCAUAUUCUCUUUUGUUCUCUGAGCUGUCACUUCAUCAGUUUACGCUUGCAAUACGUCACUAGAUCACACAGAAGGAACAUUUCAGAGAACAUGUACCAUCUACAGACCAGAUUCACACUUCUCUGAUCACCACUCACUCCUCUUGACAAAUAAAAGGUUUUGGCACGUCAACAAAACCAUCAAAAGGAAGCAACUCAGGAUAUGGUAGACCUUCUGGGCUGCAAGUGCACAUUGCUUGCUCAUGUUGAGGUUUUCAUCAACGAACACCCCCAAAUCCUUCUCCUUAGGGCUGCUCUCAAGCCAUUCUCUGCCCAGCCUGUAUUUUUCUUGGCUGUGAAAUUUUGUGAGCAAAGUUGUCUCAAAGCUUCUCAGCAGGUAAAUGACAACUCAAUCUAGUCACCCCAGCAAUAAUAAGAAAAGAAGAGCUCUUCACCACACAGCCUCAUCAUCCUGGCUGCUGGAGCAGCCCAAAGCUCAUGCUGUGGCUGCCGAGCUGUUAUGCAGCACACUCAGCUCCAUUGUGUAUCCUCCUGCCAAGAGUCAGGAGUGUAAAAAGGGUACGUUAAUGCAGAUUUGAAGGCUUGGUUGGCCCUGUUCCUUCUUUCUCCUUGGAAAACCCCCAUUGCAUUCAAUCUUUGCAAUUUAGAACAAAGUUAAAUAAAGCUGAUCUUUUCAUACUAUAAAAUAUUAAGAACAGCUGCACACAUUCUGAAAAUGAAUCAAUUCUUUUUGCUUUAAUUUAGUAUUGCCUUACUGAAAAUGCCUCUGUCUAUAUUCAUUUACUUGAGAUAGACUUCAGGAGACAUAAAGUGGUGCUACUGAAGAUGUUUGUGAUAACUGUAAGCUAGCUAUAUAUUAGUUUUGCAGCACUGCUCUUUUGCGCAAUAACUUACAAGCUCAGGCUUAAUAAUACAGUCUCCAAAAUAAGCUCUUACAUGUGCUAGGAAUGCCUUAACAGUAACUGUGGCUCUCUUGAUGUGCAGCAGUGAUAUAAUAGUAAUCAUUUUUUAGAUAUCUCUUAUUGUCAAAAUGACUUUAAUCUCGAUUUAUUAGAUAGUUACUGGUUCCUAGAAAGACAAAAUGAUAUCAACAAACCAUUUGUCUUCCAUGCUGGCCUUUAUGGCUGCAGUAGAGAUGUCAGUGAAGCACACAGUUGUUUUUCCAUCCAGAUAUUACACUGAUGUGACAUUGUCUUCUGGUUGAGCUGUUGAGAUAGUUUGCUUCCCAGUACACCUUCAGUCUGGCUGUUGUCUUGCACAAACACUGGACAUUGAACCCAAGGUCUUGCUCAGACAGUUGGUGACUGUGGUAUCAGUCAUACCUGAGGUCUUGCUGAGGCAGAUAGCAACCACAAUACUGGCUGAAACUGGGUCCUUGGAGGAACUGACGGACAGCUGCCUUGCUCAACAGUUGAGGAUCAGUUGAGCAUAUGCUAGAAAAUAUGAUUAUAUGUCAAUCAUCUUGCCCUGUAAAUAUGAAACAGCUCAGAGUGCAUUGAGCUCCUUCCUGAAUGACAGUGGGCUGCAUGACAGGAUUGUCCCUUGAGUAAGGAUGCCUCUGAAGGUUAUGUCUGCUGCAGAGAUCCCUUACACCUUGAUGUCAAGAGAUUCCUUGCUGCCACUAAUCCUUGGUAAGUCAUUAAUAGCUUGCUAUGCUUUGUGAGCUUCUCUAAAGUUUUAGAAUGAUUGUGUACAUAAAAUCUUUUAGACAUAAACCAAUGACCAAGUCUGGG
ensembl:lncRNA